CGCCAGGGCCUAAUGAAGGUUUUAAUGUUUAAUUUAUUUUCCUCCACUAGGCUCUGUACUGUUGUGGG